rnacentral:rRNA from 1 species
AGCGAACGCUGGCGGCAGGCUUAACACAUGCAAGUCGAACGCCCCGCAAGGGGAGUGGCAGACGGGUGAGUAACACGUGGGAACGUACCCUUUGGUUCGGAAUAACUUGGGGAAACUCAAGCUAAUACCGGAUAAGCCCUUAUGGGGAAAGGUUUACUGCCGAAGGAUCGGCCCGCGUCUGAUUAGCUAGUUGGUGAGGUAAUGGCUCACCAAGGCGACGAGCAGUAGCUGGUGUGAGAGGAUGAUCAGCCACACUGGGACUGAGACACGGCCCAGACUCCUACGGGAGGCAGCAGUGGGGAAUAUUGGACAAUGGGGGCAACCCUGAUCCAGCCAUGCCGCGUGAGUGAUGAAGGCCUUAGGGUUGUAAAGCUCUUUUACCCGGGACGAUAAUGACUGUACCGGGAGAAUAAGCCCCGGCUAACUUCGUGCCAGCCGCCGCAGUAA